rnacentral:lncRNA from 1 species
GUAGACGCAGUGGGAGAAUGAAACAUAAUCUUUCUCUGUCUUCUUUCUGUUUAAGAUCAGUGUGGAAAUGGAUGUGGACGCGGUGCUGCUGCCUGAGAUUAGCAGGAAGCAAUUCUUUUCCCAUUUGGAGAGACCCCGGCUUUGUUGGGCCAGGAGAUGGUUUUGCAGCAGCAGAAGACUAUGAACUGGGCUUUGGGAGAUAGGAUCUCUGGUUGUAUUCUGGCUAUCCACACUCUGAAAGAGGACCGUGACAGAGAAUUUGAGUAUCCUACCAAUAUACCUACAAAAGGAUGAAAGAAGAUUUGGAGUCAAGGGAAAACAAGGGCAAUAAAAUAGAAGCUUACCACCUGCUCUCAUACAGUUGCUAGAAGAGGACUGCAUAUUUGGUUCUAAGUUUCUGGAAGAUAAAGCCAAAAUAGAAACACAACUCAUUAUAAAAUUUUGGUGUAUCCAUAAAAUAAAAACAAAUGACCUGUUUGAGAAAACUCUUUCUGAGUUUGAGCUCUAAAAGGAACUUCUCUAUGGAAUCCUUAGAAUAUGAGAAGGCUGUGAUAUAGGGGAGAAACCCCUUGACAUUCCUAUAUUGGGUUUAGGUCUAAUUUCACUCAGUAGUUUUUAAAUGUUACUCCUUGUAGACAGAUGAUGAGACGCCAAAGUACAGCUGAGUGAAAGCGGUUCCUUUGAAAACUAAAGGCUGUAAAAACAAGGCUGUGGAUCAUGUUGUUUCAGUUCUUUAUAGAUUUUUUAAACUGAAUUUUGCAUCUGUGUACAUGAAGAAUAAAUUGUAGAAUAUCUAA